rnacentral:rRNA from 1 species
AUUGAACGCUGGCGGCAUGCUUUACACAUGCAAGUCGGACGGCAGCGGGGGUGCUUGCACCUGCCGGCGAGUGGCGAACGGGUGAGUAACAUAUUGGAAUGUACCGAGUAGUGGGGGAUAACCAAUCGAAAGAUUGGCUAAUACCGCAUACGUCCUGAGGGGGAAAGCAGGGGAUCUUCGGACCUUGCGCUAUUUGAGCAGCCAAUAUCUGAUUAGCUAGUUGGUGGGGUAAAGGCCCACCAAGGCGACGAUCAGUAGCGGGUCUGAGAGGAUGAUCCGCCACACUGGGACUGAGACACGGCCCAGACUCCUACGGGAGGCAGCAGUGGGGAAUUUUGGACAAUGGGGGCAACCCUGAUCCAGCCAUGCCGCGUGUCUGAAGAAGGCCUUCGGGUUGUAAAGGACUUUGUUAGGGAAGAAAAGAGAAGUGUUAAUACCACUUUUGCUGACGGUACUAAGA